CACCAGUACCCACGUGCUGUGGAAUGGCUGAACUGGUAGGGUAUGCUGUACUACUCAAGGAGGUGAUGUUUGGUUCUAAAGUUCAAACUAUAUCAGUUAGAAUUACUCCUAACGACCAGGAAAAGACUAUUAAUAUUAAUGUGAAUAUUUCUGGGACAGACUCCAAACUGUAUCUAAUUAAUGGGCGGAGUGUUAUAAUGAGUUUUAAAGAGCUUUUGAAAGAGCAG